GACCACCGAGAGAGACCCCUUCCCCGUAUCCCCGCAGCAUCUCGGCCGUGAGUCACCGUCACGUUUCUCACGUCCCCGGGCAGGCGUGAAUCAUGCCCCAGCCCGGCGGCAGGGCCGGGGCCGGCGGCACACGCUCGGCACCGGGCACGCGUGCCCACGGCCCCCCCCUCCACCCCCCACCACCCCAUCAAGGGGAUCUGGGGGUGCCGGGGCCCGUGCGGAGCCCAGGACCUGCGUGUCACUCCCGAGGGCCAGCGGCACCCCCAGCCCCACUGCAGGUCGCUGGGCCACCACACCAUGGCACCCUGUGGGCCAGCGGCAACCCACGCCGGGCCACCACCGCUUCCCCCAGCACGGACACCGCGCUGGCCGGUGGGGACGGUGACCUUGCCCGCAGGGACGGUGUCCGUGCCAGCCUCACCACCCCAAGGAGCAGCCGCCGGCCCCCACGGCGUGGGUCAUCGCCCCGACACCCCCAUGUCCCACUGGCCGGGUGGGAGCCACAAACUGAAAUUCCACCUGUCGCAGCCAGGGCCGGCUCCGGUUACGCCGGGAACGCGCCACUCCGGUUACACGUCCCGCACCCGCCGCCAGACGCGCCAUUCUUCUGCGGGAACAGGUGCCACCAUGGCCCCCGCCACGGCCCCCGGGACGGGCACGGCUGUGCCACGCCACCACCGGCACCAGCGCCGCCCGCCCCACGGGUGCCGGAUCCUGGAAGGAGCGGGUCAGCCCGGCUCAGCCCCAAAAGGCCCGGCGGUACCCUCGGGGCCAGCGAUGCCCACCAGCCCCUCGCCCCUUGGGGACCCCCACUCCAGCCACAGAGGGGGCACCCCAAGUCCUCACCCCAUGGAGCAGCCCCAAACCCUCCGGGACGAGCCCAGGGAAGGGCAGGUCCUGCCCGCAGCCCUGGGAUGGGGGCGGGGGGGGGGGGAAGUUGUGGUGCCAGGGUGCCCCAUCCCGGUUCCCCGCGGGCUCCCGGGAAGCGGGGGGGUUGCGCCACGGCAGCCGCUCGCAGCAGCGGCCCCCGGUUGUUUUUAGCCCUGGAUGCGGCGCAGCCGGCGCCCUGGGAAUGGCGUGCCGGGAACAGCGCGGCCCCAGACAGCCCUUUCUGGCUCGGCGACAGCCGGCAGACAAGUGCAGCCGGCUGCGGCACGGGGCCGCUCGGGACACGGCACCGGGGACGGCCUGGGGGGACCCAGCGGGCAGGCGGCCGCCCGACACCCCCCUCCCCGGGUACCAGCAUUGGGUGGCACCGUGCCCCCAGCCCGGGCAGACACCCCCCCCCCCCCCCCCCCCCCCCCCCCAAAGCAGGGCCGGGAUGAGGCCAGGCCAGGACCUGGCAUACCUCGGGGACACCAAAGCACCGGCAGCGGGAGGGCGUGCAGAUGUGUGCCGCUGGCACGGCCCCUCCUGCCACGGCCUGGCCACCGCGGCUCAACCGGGGGACAGCGGAGG
rnacentral:lncRNA from 1 species